rnacentral:rRNA from 1 species
GGUUAAGCUACAAAGGGCGCAUGGUGAAUGCCUUGGCAUCAGGAGCCGAUGAAGGACGUGAUAAGCUGCGAUAAGCUUCGGGUAGGCGCACAUAGCCUGAGAUCCGAAGAUCUCCGAAUGAGGAAACUCACAUGGGAAACCCCAUGUAUCAUUAAGUGAAUACAUAGCUUAAUGAAGGUAACCCAGGGAACUGAAACAUCUAAGUACCUGGAGGAAGAGAAAGAAAAAUCGAUUUUCUUAGUAGCGGCGAGCGAAAGGGAAAGAGCCCAAACCGGAAACUUGUUUCCGGGGUUGUGGACAUAGCAUAAAAGUGGAGGCUAUUGUAACUGAAGAGAACUGGAAAGUUCCACCGUAGAAGGUAAUAGUCCUGUAAGUGAAACGAGAAGACCACGAGUUAUGAUCCAGAGUACCACGAGACACGUGAAACCUUGUGGGAAGCAGGGAGGACCACCUCCCAAGGCUAAAUACUACCUGAUGACCGAUAGUGAAGCAGUACCGUGAGGGAAAGGUGAAAAGAACCCCGGGAGGGGAGUGAAAUAGAACCUGAAACCGUGUGCCUACAACCGCUCAGAGCCCCUUAUGAGGGUGAUGAGGUGCUUUUUGUAGAACGAGCCAACGAGUUACGGUAUGUAGCAAGGUUAAGUACUUAAGGUACGGAGCCGAAGGGAAACCGAGUCUGAAUAGGGCGACUAGUUGCAUGCCGUAGACCCGAAACCGGGUGACCUAUCCAUGGCCAGGUUGAAGCGAGGGUAAAACCUCGUGGAGGACCGAACCACGUUGCUGUUGAAAAAGCAUGGGAUGAGCUGUGGAUAGCGGAGAAAUUCCAAUCGAACCCGGAGAUAGCUGGUUCUCUCCGAAAUAGCUUUAGGGCUAGCGUCGAGUAUGAGUAGUGGAGGUAGAGCACUGAAUGGGCUAGGGGGCAUAGCGCUUACCGAACCUUAUCAAACUCCGAAUGCCACAUACUUUGAGCUCGGCAGUCAGACUACGAAUGAUAAGAUCCGUGGUCAAAAGGGAAACAGCCCAGAUCGUCAGCUAAGGUCCCAAAGUGUAAGUUAAGUGGGAAAGGAUGUGAGAUUUCUAAGACAACUAGGAUGUUGGCUUAGAAGCAGCCAUUCAUUAAAAGAGUGCGUAAUAGCUCACUAGUCGAGAGAUCUUGCGCCGAAAAUGUAACGGGGCUAAACUUACCACCGAAGCUACGGGCUUGAACUUAGUUCAAGCGGUAGGAGAGCGUCGUAACCGGGCUGAAGUCGUACCGUAAGGAGCGGUGGACUGGUUACGAGUGAGAAUGUUGGCAUCAGUAGCGAGAUGUGGGUGAGAAUCCCACAGGCCGAAAACCUAAGGUUUCCUCAGGAAGGUUCGUCCGCUGAGGGUUAGUCGGGACCUAAGCCGAGGCCGAAAGGCGUAGGUGAUGGACAACUGGUUGAUAUUCCAGUACCACUACCAUCGUUAUUAUCGAUGGCGUGACGCAGGAGGAUAGUGUGUGCUAGCUAUUGGAUGCUAGUCUAAGCGUUUAGGCAGUGAGAGUAGGCAAAUCCGCUCUCAUAAUGCUGAGGCGUGAUGGGGAAGGUUCUACGGAACCGAAGUACAUGAUUCCACGCUGCCAAGAAAAGCGUCUAGAGAGAGAAGUAGUGCCCGUACCGCAAACCGACACAGGUAGGUGAGGAGAGAAUCCUAAGGCCGGCGGAAGAAUUACAGUUAAGGAACUCGGCAAAUUGACCCCGUAAGUUCGCGAGAAGGGGUGCCUACGAGAGUAGGCCGCAGAGAAUAGGCCCAAGCAACUGUUUAGCAAAAACACAGGUCUCUGCUAAAGCGUAAGCUGAUGUAUAGGGGCUGACGCCUGCCCGGUGCUGGAAGGUUAAGGGGAACACUUAGCGCAAGCGAAGGUGUGAACUUAAGCCCCAGUAAACGGCGGCCGUAACUAUAACGGUCCUAAGGUAGCGAAAUUCCUUGUCAGGUAAGUUCUGACCCGCACGAAUGGCGUAAUGACUUGGGCACUGUCUCAACUGUAAAUCCGGCGAAGUUGUAGUGCGAGUGAAGAUGCUCGCUACCCGCGAUUGGACGGAAAGACCCCGUAGAGCUUUACUGUAGCUUAGCAUUGAGUUUUGGUAUUGUCUGUACAGGAUAGGUGGGAGACUAGGAAACCAGGGCGUCAGCCUUGGUGGAGUCAACCUUGGGAUACCACCCUGACAGUACUGAAAUUCUAACUGGCGGCCAUGAAUCUGGUCACAGGACAUUGUUAGGUGGGCAGUUUGACUGGGGCGGUCGCCUCCUAAAAAGUAACGGAGGCGCCCAAAGGUUCCCUCAGAACGGUCGGAAAUCGUUCGAAGAGUGCAAAGGCAGAAGGGAGCCUGACUGCGACACCCACAAGUGGAGCAGGGACGAAAGUCGGGCUUAGUGAUCCGGUGGUACCUCGUGGGAGGGCCAUCGCUCAACGGAUAAAAGCUACCUCGGGGAUAACAGGCUGAUCUCCCCCAAGAGUCCACAUCGACGGGGAGGUUUGGCACCUCGAUGUCGGCUCGUCGCAUCCUGGGGCUGAAGUAGGUCCCAAGGGUUGGGCUGUUCGCCCAUUAAAGCGGCACGCGAGCUGGGUUCAGAACGUCGUGAGACAGUUCGGUCCCUAUCCGUCGCGGGCGUAGGAAAUUUGAGAGGAGCUGUCCUUAGUACGAGAGGACCGGGAUGGACUGACCUCUGGUGUACCAGUUGUUCCGCCAGGAGCACAGCUGGGUAGCUAAGUCGGGAAUGGAUAAACGCUGAAAGCAUCUAAGCGUGAAGCCAACCUCAAGAUGAGAUUUCCCAUAGCGUAAGCUAGUAAGAUCCCUUGAAGAACACAAGGUUGAUAGGUCGGGGGUGUAAGCAUGGUAACAUGUUCAGCUGACCGAUACUAAUAGAUCGAGGGCUUGACCAA